GGGGACCUUCGGGGCCCUACAACCACGGCGCCGCUCACCCGUUGAGCCAAGCGUCACACAAGCAAAACGGAAGACAGA
rnacentral:ncRNA from 1 species